rnacentral:lncRNA from 1 species
UUUUUUCAGAUAUAUGUUUAUUACACUAAUUAUAGUGUAGCCACUCUUCCUCUUCUUUUUUUUUUCCUGUACUCUCUAUUUCUCUUUUUGGACUCUUUAUUUAUCUAGUGGCAUUCCUAGUGCACUUCUAACUAUUAAAAUUGUGCAUCAUUCAGAUUGAAUAGUUUGUCUAUGACACUAAAGGAAUAGUUACCAUCUUGUUCCAUGGAUUGUUGAUCACUUGCUACCUUCCUGUAUUGAGUUAUUAUUAAUUGUACAAUUGUUUAAAGUAUGACGAGAUAGGUGGCUUUAUAGUUUGGUUUAUCCUACAUCUCACAGAUUUACAAUUGCUCUAGUAUAGAUAUAUUAAAAUACAUCAGAGGGGUGAGUUUGGUAAGUUGAACCACUUUAUGCGGACAAAUAUUUCGACAAGCAAUGCAGCAGAGAUCGGACUUUCAUUAUUGUGAAAUAAAUUUGAUUGAUCAAGACACACUUUACGAGCUGGGGAACAAAGGUUCUGACAGGUUAAAUUUAGAAAAAGAACCUGCAUCACCCUUUUCAACUAUUCAUUAAUGCUAGCUUCGGUUGAGUGUCAAAUUGUCAAAAAAUAGCAAACAUAUCUUAUUAGCAUUUUAAGCACUUAAUUGGCUCGAGCAUUUGUUUGGUUAAUUGACUAUUCAGCAAUAGCAUUCUUUCUUCUGAGAGUUAUCUUACUUCUCCUGGUCGUCUUAUUUCUAGUUUAGCAUUUAGGCUAUAGUAAUAUUUAAACCAAGUUCUACUGGUCAUACUCAGUGUUGAUCUACCUGUGAAACAACCGUUGUAUUCUAAAAGCUUAAGCUAUUAGAGAACGGUGUUUAUAUAUUUUUAUUUUUAACACUCCCCCUCACGUUUGGGCUCGAAACUUUUUUAGUUGGCCCAUGACGUGGGCUUUGAAUUAAAUGGGAGGAAAUUAAUAUGCUAGGAGCCUGGCGUGACUCGAACUCAGAACCUCCUGCUCUAAUACCAUGUGAAACAACCGUUGUACUCUAAAAGCUUAAGCUUUUAGAGUACAAGCUUUUAGAGUACAACGGUUGUUUCACACUACCAAACAAGUCAUAAAUCAUAAGAGCAACUUAAUGCAUUAUUUGUUGUUACGUUUUGGAUUUUCUUCCCUCAUAAGAGCAACUUAAUGCAUUAUUUGUUGUCUUGUUUUGGAAUUUCUUCCCUCAUGACCACACCACCGAAUGCUUUUCUCCCUUCCUUUUUCUAGUUCUUUUUUUUCCUUAUAGUUGUUGCAUGUGGA